rnacentral:rRNA from 1 species
CCCUUAGAUGUUCUGGCCUGCACGCGCGCUACACUGAAGCUAUCAACACGUUUUCCCUCCCUGAGAAGGGCGGGUAACCUUUUGAAUCAGCUUCGUGGUAGGGAUCGGGGCUUGCAAUUGUUCCCCGUGAACCAGGAAUUCCUAGUAGACGCGAGUCAUAAGCUCGCAUCGAUUAAGUCCCUGCCCUUUGUACACACCGCCCGUCGCUACUACCGAUUGAACGUUUUAGUGAGGCAUUUGGACCGACGCAUCUCAGUUUAACCGCUGGUUUGUGUUGGAAAGACUUCCAAACUUGAGCGUUUAGAGGAAGUAAAAGUCGUAACA